GUAGCUUCUUGAUUUUGCAAUAGGUUUGAGAAAAUGGGCAGUUCAUUCAUUAGAAUGAGAGAGACUAUUUGUCAAAAAUCUCAAGUCUUUUAGAAUUGUCCAUUUUCUCAGAUCUAUUACAAACACCGUUGAAGAACC
rnacentral:pre_miRNA from 1 species